UACGUAGGGUGCAAGCGUUGUCCGGAAUUAUUGGGCGUAAAGAGCUCGUAGGCGGUCUGUUGCGUCGGCUGUGAAAACCCGGGGCUCAACUCCGGGCCUGCAGCCGAUACGGGCAGACUAGAGUUCGGUAGGGGAGACUGGAAUUCCUGGUGUAGCGGUGAAAUGCGCAGAUGUCAGGAGGAACACCGGUGGCGAAGGCGGGUCUCUGGGCCGAUACUGACGCUGAGGAGCGAAAGCGUGGGGAGCGAACAGG
rnacentral:rRNA from 1 species